UACGUAGGGGGCAAGCGUUGUCCGGAUUUAUUGGGCGUAAAGAGCGUGUAGGCGGUUAGGUAGGUCCGUUGUGAAAACUCGAGGCUCAACCUCGAGACGCCGAUGGAAACCCCCUAACUAGAGUCCGGAAGAGGAGAGUGGAAUUCCUGGUGUAGCGGUGAGAUGCGCAGAUAUCAGGAAGAACACCCGUGGCUAAGGCGGCUCUCUAGUACGGUACUGACGCUGAGACGCGAAAGCGUGGGGAGCGAACAGG
rnacentral:rRNA from 1 species